rnacentral:rRNA from 1 species
UAGGGAAUCUUGCACAAUGGGGGAAACCCUGAUGCAGCGACGCCGCGUGAGCGAUGAAGCCCUUCGGGGUGUAAAGCUCUUUCGGCGGGGACGAAUCAUGACGGUACCCGCAGAAGCAGCUGCGGCUAACUACGUGCCAGCAGCCGCGGUAAUACGUAGGCAGCGAGCGUUGUUCGGAGUUACUGGGCGUAAAGGGUGUGCAGGCGGCUUUCUAAGUUUGGUGUGAAAUCUCCCGGCUCAACUGGGAGGGUGCGCCGAAAACUGGGAGGCUUCGAGUGCGGGAGAGGAGAGUGGAAUUCCUGGUGUAGCGGUGAAAUGCGUAGAGAUCAGGAGGAACACCGGCGGUGUAGACGGCUCUCUGGACCGUGACUGACGCUGAGACACGAAAGCGUGGGGAGCAAACAG